rnacentral:rRNA from 1 species
AUGGGAGACAUGAACGAGCUUUUGUAUGAUAUGGAUAAAAGUUCCCCUAUUACUGAUCGCUCUCGGCUCCGUGCUUUUCAUAAUCUUGUUAAGAGGUGUGGUUUGUUUGAUCUGGGUUAUAGUGGGCCAGCUUACACCUGGACUAAUAGGCGGUUCUCUUCUAAACCGAUUUAUGAAAGGCUUGAUCGCUGUUUAGUCAAUGCUGAUUGGUGUGCUUCCUUUCCGGUUUCUAAUGUUUAUUAUAUGCCUUUGAUGCACACAAUUAGUGAUCAUGCUCCGAUUUUAUUAUCUACCGAUGGUCCUGUUCAUAGAAUCAAACGCAGCUUUAAGUUUGAAAAUUGGUGGAUAAAAGAGCAAGAUUUUCAAUCUCAAGCUAAGGCUGCAUGGUCGAAAACAACUCAAAAGAGUUUCUCUCAGAGAACUGAUGAUCUUGCCGGAGUACUUAAAGUCUGGUGCAGGAAGAAGAAGCCUUUGCAACAGGAACUCACUGAUCUGGAGGAGCAAGUUAAACAUUUGCAAGAGCAGCCCAUUCAACAGCAGAACCAUUUGUUGGAGAACUCUCUGGUUACCAGGUACGAACAGAAUCUCACCAAACUAGCUGACUUUUACUUGCAAAGGGCAAAGAAGCACUGGAUCAAGGAUGGAGAUAGAAAUACUUCUUUCUUUCAUAGAGCCAUACUUAAACGAAGGAGAAGGAACAUUAUUGUCUCUGUCAAAGAUGAGAACAAUAUUAUUCACUAUAUGCCAAAGCAAAUCAGUAAUACUUUUGUGAGCUAUUUUAGACACAUUUUUUUCUUCCAAUAUUAA